CGCUUCAUGCAGAUUACCUACAUCAUAGUGAGAGGCAGCUGGAAGAAGUGCAAUGCAUUGAGAAACCUCUAGAAAGAGACACCAGUGCUGGAACAGGACGAACCUCAAGUGCAGAGUUUCCUCCCAACAGUGAAGAGAACUCAGCAGUAAGCCUCUGUGGAGAAGUGGGCAUUUAAGCUGGGCCCCAGACUCAGCAGAGGGAAUUCUGGAGCAAAAGUGCCAAGGAGGAUGCAAGCUUGUCUCUGCAGGAACUGGGGCCAUGUGACAGGAGUCUUUCUCCAAUAGGAUGCCCAUAGCCACUGUCCAGCCUGAGGCCAUUCAACAAACACUGAGCACAAGCAAGACAGAAGAGCUCUCAGCUCCUCCACAUUCAAUACAACAAGUCAAAUGUGAGCGUGGG
rnacentral:lncRNA from 1 species